CAGUGUUAAUGUACUGGAGUGUCCAGUCAGUGUGUGUGUAUUUAACCCCCCUCUCUCUCUCUGUCUCUCAGGUCCAGAGUCUCCCUACACUCACUGGAAACAGACAGUCUUCUACCUGGACGAUUACCUCACAGUGAAGACGGGGGAGGAGAUCUUCGGCACCAUCAGCAUGAAGCCCAACGUCAAGAACAACCGCGAUCUGGACUUCACGGUGGACAUCGACUUCAAGGGCCAGCUCUGCGAGGUGUCCAAGACCUCAGAGUACCGGAUGCGCUGAGAGGGGCCCGGUCCCGCCGGCCCGAGACCGCGUCGGCGCGAGGCCGUGCUGUCCAGUCACCCACCACCCCCCCACCCGCCGCUGUCGCCCCCCCCUGGCCCUCCCCUCCUCGGCCCCCCCAGGUGGGCAGUGGUCAGCCGCCCCUCUGGAGGCCGAAGCCCGGGGGCUGACCCCUGCCUCCUCCUCCUCCUCGCUCGGCCCGGGACCCCUGCGCUCGCCGCGGGGGGCCGGGGGCGGUGUUGUGGGGGGGUGUUUGUUCGUUGGGCUGUUUUAUCUCCUGAACAACGGACUCUCUCUCUCUCUCUUUGUGUUGUUGUUGUUUUGCGAGGUGGUGGUUGUGUUGUGGGGAGGGGGGUGGGCCGGUGGGGCCGGACCGUCCCGGCGCCGACGCGCGCUGGUCCCGGGAGGAGAGUUCAGAGCUGCCUGGCGUCUCCAUAGUAACGCAUCCUCCUCAUCAGCAGCUGGUUGGCAUGGCGAUGUCAUCCCUCCCCAUCUCUCUCUCUCUCACGCGCGCGCACACACACACAC
rnacentral:lncRNA from 1 species